CAUAUUUCCCCUUGUCUGAUCACCCCCUCCCUCCAAAGUCCAAAUGCCGUAUCUCCCCCCUCCCCCACAAAUCGAAAACUCUGUCUCUCUCUCUCUCACUCUCUUUCUCUUUCACAACCGCCACCAUAGAAGCAGCGCCACUAGCACGAGACGACAGAUCUCUCUCCCUUCCAUUCUCUUCUCUGUCUCUCUCUCUAGGCUAGGGCUCCGCUGCCGCCAUCUCCACGCACGACAUCAUGGUCGCCCAUAGCUUCUCCGCGUCCCUCUCUCACUUUCCCUUACAUCGAUCAACCCACGCUCACCCCCAACGUCUCCAUCAAGCCGACAGCACCGUCCCUGCCUCGCUAUGAAUAUUCCACCAUGAGACAGUGAGAUCCAACCGAGGCCCCCAACGCCAACAACCCAAGAAUAUUCCACUACACUGCUAAGAGUUGGUUCCCUUUAUUUGCCUUAGUUUUCUCUCUUGUUAUGUGUAAGUUUUUGAAGACUGAAGUGCCCCAAAGGUAUUAUGGAGUAAAUUGCCAGUAGUCAGGGAAACUAUUCUUUUAUUUCGCUGCAUUGUUAGUUUUUAAUUCAAUUCACUGUGAUUGUUCUGCUUAUUCUAUUGACCUCCAUUUCCUUGAAGCAAAAUCUGAUGAUUGGUAACGACUGUAUGUCAUUUGCUUUCGUGAAAAGGGUUCUGCUUCAAUCAUGUUCUUUUUGUUAAAUGUGAAUUGGUCUAUUUAACUUAAUUAAAUUAGAAACUGCUGUCAUAAUUAGUGCCAGGUCAAUGCAGUUUUAACUUAAUUUUGUUUCCAUCAUCUCAUGAAAGAAAACAUUUCAUUGGUUCCUCAUUUCUUAAUGUAUGUUUCUUCUUAUUAAGUUUAGAUCUAAAUUACAAAAUUUUCUUAUUAAAUUUAUAUCUAAAUUAUAUGGUUUUUGUUUUCGCUGAUAGUGUCCAGACACCAAUUACCUCUUCAUGGGGGAAUAUGUAGAUAGAGGGUAUUAUUCCUCAUUUCUUAUGCUUGUUGUCUUGCUAUAUGAAAUUAUCUUUCCCAUUAAAUAAGUUAUAUGGUCAAUUGAUCUGUUUUUAAUUUUCAUUUCAUUCAUUUUCAUGGUGAUGGCUUUGGAACCUUGUCAUGGUCCCAAAGUACAUUUAUCAAUGUUGAAAUACACAUCUAUUUAGUUCAACUAAAGGCCAGUUGGUUUAGCGAACUCCUACAUUAUCUUAGUAGUCUUUUGUGUGCUAGAAUUCUUACAAACCUUGGCUCCAGAAAAGGUGUAAAAUAUGGGAUUUCUGUUCAAAGUACUGUUAUAUAGCCUAAUAGUUUCCUUUCCUUGCUUGUGAAUGCUAAAGUUACUAUGAUAGAGACAAUAUCAACUCCUAGAAUGGCAGUUACCUUUCUAUACAGCAUAAGAACAAGGAAUGGCAUUAAAAAUCUCUUUUUACCAUAUUGCAUUGGCUUGGUGUAGCAUUAAUACACCUUACUGAUCUCUGUUUCUGAAUUCUAGUCUUAAAUUUAUGAUGGUAACCUGGAUGCUUCUCUUUAGAUGUUGAAUUCUCACUCACAUAAGUAGAAAAAAAAAAUCUAUAAAUAGUUUCAAUGGUUUGAUUUUAUUUUAGAGUUAAUUUUUCUGUUUCUAACAUUCAAAGUAAUUGUUAUAUAGCCUAAUAGUUUCCUUUCCUUGCUUGUGAAUGCUAAAGUUACUAUGAAAGAGACAAUAUCAAUUCCUAGAAUGGCAGUUACCUGUCUAUACAGUAUAAGAAUGAGGAAUUCAUGAUUAAAAAUCUCUUUUUACCAUAUUGCAUUGGCUUGGUGUAGCAUUAAUACACCUUACUGAUCUCUGUUUUUGAAUUUUAGUCUUAAAUUUAUGAUGGUAACCUGGAUGCUUCUCUUUAUACGUUGAAUUCUCACUCACAUAAAUAGAAAAAAAAAAUCUAUAAAUAGUUUCAAUGGUUUGAUUUUCUGUUAGAGUUAAUUUUUUAGUUUCUAGCAUGUAGGUAUGGAACCAUGUGUGAUAAUAGCAAUGGAGAUAUUGUCAAGACGGCAUCUCGUGCUCGAAAGAGUGCUGUAGGAUUACUCAGGUUUAUGGAUUUUAUGAUGAAUGCCUGAGUGAGUUAUCGAUACAUUACCUUGGUUUAGGAGGUCAUACUUGUAGUAAUUUAUACUAUCUUUUACAUGACAAUAUUAUUCAUUUUCCCUUUCAUACCAUAUUUUAGAUAGUCCUAAUAUAUAGUUUGUGAACUUGAUGAGUAGAUAAUGCAUUUCAUCUACCUAUCGAUGUUUUUGGACCUAAAAUUGUAGAUGUGAUUGAACUUAUAACUUUUGUGGUUCAAGCUGAUGGAGUGUGUGGCUGUCCUGUUUGGGUUGUGCUAUGUGACUGGUUGGGUUGACACAUGGUUGUUUGGGUUGACAUGUGGUUGUUGGUUUUAUGAGUGUGGUUGUUCAGGCUGUUAUAUGUGGCUGUUUAGGCUAGUAUGCAUGGCUGGUUGGUUUGUUUUAAUUACCGGGUGGUGUGGUUGCUUUUGCUUGAAGUUUGUGUGUGUGGUGGUAUUUUCAGGCUGUUGUGCAUUUAUGAGUUUUCAAGUUGGUAAAGUGCAUUUAUGUGCAUUUAAAAAAUGAAGUGAUCUUUUGUGAAAGUCUGAAGCUCCACUUUUUGAAUGAUUUAUUGUACAAUAUAUCAUGGUCAUACAAAUUAAGGCUACAUGGUUCUCAUUCCUUCACUUGUAAUUCUGUAUUUACUAAACUUGACUCAAUACACUCAAUUCUGUCUUCUAUAUUCAUUCCCUUAUCCAGCCUCUGUUUUGAAGACCUUUAGACCCAGAAGAGGCCUUCCAUCUGACUUGAACUGAGUCUUGUGGAUUAAAGGAAGAUCUCCAGUUAUUUAGUAGACCAGUCUAGUGAUAUGUGAAUUUAGUUUAUGAUUAUACACUUGUGUUGGAUUGAAUUACAUGGGCAGCAAGGUUUUUCUUGUAAACAUGUUAGAAGAAUUAACUAGUUGUUUUUUCGGAAGUGUCAUUAGUGUCAAUUUGAAUCUUGGAGGUUUGUAUAUAUUUUUUUGGCUUAUAUUUGACAUUUUUUUAUGCUCA